rnacentral:rRNA from 1 species
GGAGUCUGGGCCGUAUCUCAGUCCCAAUGUGGCCGUUCACCCUCUUAGGCCGGCUACCCAUCAUCGCCAUGGUAGGCCUUUACCCUGCCAUCUAGCUAAUGGGACGCAGACUCACCUUCAAGCAAAGCCUUAGCUCCUUUCCCGUUCUCCGCUUGUGCGGAUUACGUAUUAUCCGGUAUUAUCCUGACUUUCACCAGGCUAUCCCAGUCUAAAAGAUAGAUUAUCCACGUGUUACUCACCCGUCCGCCGCUCUCCUCGGAGUUGCCCCCGAUUCCCGCUCGACUUGCAUGCUUAAAACGCGCCGCCAGCGUUCGUU